rnacentral:rRNA from 1 species
AAGCGGUACGGAUUACUGGGCGUAAGCGCACGUAGGCUGCGCUGUAAGUUGGACGUGAAAGCUCUCGGCUCAACUGAGAGAGGUCGUUCAAAACUGCGGUGCUUGAGGUUGACAGAGGAGAGUGGAAUUCCCGGUGUAGUGGUGGAAUGCGUAGAUAUCGGGAGGAACACCAGUGGCGAAGGCGGCUUCCUGGGCCAAUACUGACGCUGAGGUGCGAAAGCGUGGGGAGCAAACAGGAUAGAUACCCUGGUAGUCCACGCCGUAAACGAUGAGAACUAGAUGUCGGGAGGAUUUAGCCUUUCGGUGUCGCAGCUAACGCGUUAAGUUCUCCGCCUGGGGAGUACGCCGGCAACGGUAAAACUCAAAGGAAUUGACGGGGACCCGCACAAGCGGUGGAGCAUGUGGUUUAAUUCGAUGCAACGCGAAGAACCUUACCAGCCCUUGACAUCCUCGGAACUUUGCAGAGAUGCAUUGGUGCCUUCGGGAAUCGAGUGACAGGUGCAGCAUGGC